CAGAUGGGACAUAAAAAGCUCCAUAUCUUGGGAACAGGAGGCCCACUCAACAUACUGUAAAAGUGCAGGUCAUAGACCAGAGAGUCCUCCUGACGAAGUGGGGCAACCCACAAAACGACGUCCUUUGAGGGUGCACGGAGUCCCCAGAUCGUCACGGGUAAUAUGCCUGCAACAGGCACACAGGACAGAGUGGCAUCCGGCUGAAGAUGACAUUUCUAGGCGAUGUGUGAUGUUCUUUCUUCAUGCUGUGCACUUUCGACUUAUUAAAAUAUGUGUAUCAUUGUUG